rnacentral:sRNA from 1 species
CGCCUGGCUUUCGUAUUCGUUGUUCUCGGCGGGCUGUGGGGCCUCCGCGCCGCGGCCGUUAGUCAUGUCGGAUUCUGGAAGUUACGGUCAGUCUGGGGGUGAGCAGCAAAGUUAUUCUACCUAUGGAAAUCCAGGCAACCAAGGCUAUGGACAAGCAUCACAAAGCUAUUCUGGCUAUGGGCAAACGACUGAUUCCUCUUAUGGACAGAACUACAGCGGUUACUCCAGUUAUGGACAAAGUCAGUCAGGUUAUUCACAGUCCUAUGGUGGUUAUGAGAAUCAAAAGCAGAGCUCAUAUAGCCAGCAACCAUAUAAUAACCAGGGACAGCAGCAAAACGUGGAAUCAUCAGGAAGCCAAGGUGGAAGAGCACCUUCCUAUGACCAGCCAGACUAUGGUCAACAAGAUUCAUAUGACCAGCAGUCAGGCUAUGAUCAACAUCAAGGCUCAUAUGAUGAGCAGUCAAAUUAUGAUCAGCAGCAUGAUUCCUAUAGUCAAAACCAGCAGUCCUAUCAUUCACAAAGGGAAAACUACAGCCACCACACACAAGAUGACCGUCGUGAUGUGAGUAGGUAUGGAGAAGAUAAUAGAGGAUAUGGCGGGUCACAGGGAGGAGGUAGAGGGCGUGGGGGAUAUGACAAGGAUGGAAGAGGUCCUAUGACAGGAUCAAGGUAAGUAUGUAGAUAAAGAUGCCUACAUUUCUUCUUCUUCCUCUUUUUUUUUUUUUUUAAGGUGUUACUUGGCUGGAUCAAUUCCAGCAUCU